rnacentral:lncRNA from 1 species
AGAGGUCCUUCAUUAUCUGCAGCCCCAGCCCUCAUCAUCCCCUUCCCACAGUCCUGAAUACCCAAGGAGAGGAAGAGUGGCCCUUGCUGUACAGCUUCUUCAUUGCUUGAAGCCUGAUUCCUUUCAAGCCCUGAGAUUAUGGCCCUGGGUUGGCCCACAUGGCUGCUUUUAUAGGAAUGGAGCAGCAGGGUUGGGCAGGAACCAUGGGAGAGGGAAGAGGGGAGGGAUGGGGGAGGCCAGGACUGGGGGCAAAGGAGUUGGAGUGGGAGUCCUGUAUGUCAGUCUCAUCUCAUGUGCAGAAAGUGGAUAAGGAUAUCUGCCUUGCAGAAUGGUGGUGAAGCCAUGAGAUAAUGGGUGUGAAGGGCUGGGGCUGGGGCUGGCACACAGAGGGGCUGACAAUGUUAGUCCCUUUUGUCCAGUUCACAGAUGGUGCAAUCAGGCUCCACCAUAGCAGGAACCAGGCAUCUCUUUCUGGUGCAGAGUUGAACAAAGGAUACUUGCCUCUCGCCCUGGGUGAUGUGUGGGAGCUUCCAGUGUAGUGGGGGAACCUCUGCUCUUGAGGGGCCCUCAGACUCCCAUGAAGGAGUCAUGUGCCUACCUGAGGUUCCCAGUCUUAUGGAAGAGACUCAGUUUCUGAUCUGAGAGGGGCUUCUGAUCUGGUGCUGGAACCCCUGUCCUUGGAGGGUUCCCAUUCUUAUGGAGUAACCACAGUGCCUUCCACCAGGGAGGUCUGCAGUCUUAUGAGAGUUCCAGCCCCCUGGUCUGAGAGGCAUUUUAGUUUUAUGGGAGAAAUCCAGCUUCCAAUCAGGGUGGGGGCCUUCUGAUCUAGUUGGGGAAACUGGGCCCUUACCCUGGCAGAAACUCCAGUCUGAUAGAGGAGACACAGCCUCUGUGUUCUGGAAGGCCUCCCAGUUCGAUGGUAGAGAAAAAUUCUUGCUCUGUGGGAGCCUAAAUAUGGAGAGGGAUGAGAAAUCGGCUCAAGCCCAUCAGAGUGACAGAUACCCGGGGAGGCUGGGCGUGCCAAGCUGGACCGGUCCGGCCAGGCUGGAAGCCCAGCUGCCCGCUUUUUCUCAGUGCCUGGAGACCACCCGCCUUUUCAGCACCACGGUCAGCGGCCUUUUUCGCAGGCGCGCGCCCCAGCCCCGCCCCGGGUUGGGCUGGCAUCCAGCCUCCCGGCCCUUCUGCGUGUCCCUCGGCCCACCGGCAUCCCGGGUUGGAGGUGUGGGUGGGGCAGGCGACCGGGGUAUGAGAGGCGGUGGGGUGCCUCCUCCGCGCGUCUCUGCGAGUAUCUGUCUCCCCCAUGCGUCCGCUGCUCCUCAUAGAGGCGUCGGGAGAGUGUGUUCGCGACUUUCUCGCACAGCGGC